GAUUAACGCUAGCGGCAGGCCUAAUACAUGCAAGUUGAACGGGAUUUCGGGUAGCAAUAUCUGAAUGAGAGUGGCGCACGGGUGCGUAACACGUAUGCAAUCUACCUCUGACUGGGGAAUAGCCUUCCGAAAGGAAGAUUAAUACCGCAUAACAUAAUGAAGUGGCAUCACUUUAUUAUCAAAACUCCGGUGGUCAGAGAUGAGCAUGCGUCCGAUUAGCUAGUUGGCGAGGUAACGGCUCACCAAGGCAACGAUCGGUAGGGGGUCUGAGAGGAUGAUCCCCCACACUGGUACUGAGACACGGACCAGACUCCUACGGGAGGCAGCAGUAAGGAAUAUUGGACAAUGGUCGCAAGACUGAUCCAGCCAUGCCGCGUGAAGGAUGAAUGCCCUA
rnacentral:rRNA from 1 species